AACGCUAGCUACAGGCUUAACACAUGCAAGUCGAGGGGUAACGAGAGGAAAGCUUGCUCUCCUUGUCGACGACCGGCGCACGGGUGAGUAACGCGUAUCCAACCUGCCCCCAACUAGGGAAUAACCUUGCGAAAGUAAGACUAAUACCCUAUAAUUUCCUCAGAUGUCAUCUGACGAGGAAUAAAGAUUUAUCGGUUGUGGAUGGGGAUGCGUCUGAUUAGCUUGUUGGCGGGGUAACGGCCCACCAAGGCAACGAUCAGUAGGGGUUCUGAGAGGAAGGUCCCCCACAUUGGAACUGAGACACGGUCCAAACUCCUACGGGAGGCAGCAGUGAGGAAUAUUGGUCAAUGGGCGGAAGCCUGAACCAGCCAAGUAGCGUGCAGGAUGACGGCCCUAUGGGUUGUAAACUGCUUUUAUACAGGAAUAAAGUUAGCCACGUGUGGUUAUUUGUAGGUACUGUAUGAAUAAGGACCGGCUAAUUCCGUGCCAGCAGCCGCGGUAAUACGGAAGGUCCAGGCGUUAUCCGGAUUUAUUGGGUUUAAAGGGAGCGUAGGCCGUCUGUUAAGCGUGUUGUGAAAUGUAGAUGCUCAACAUCUGAAUUGCAGCGCGAACUGGCAGACUUGAGUGUGCGCAACGUAGGCGGAAUUCGUGGUGUAGCGGUGAAAUGCUUAGAUAUCACGAAGAACUCCGAUUG
rnacentral:rRNA from 1 species